AGAUUUAAAGGUUGGCUUCCUGCGGGAAGCCACUGCAAACGAAACUGUUUAGUGUUGGUCAUUCAGUCAGCCCUGUUCCGUGUGCAGAAUAAUUGACGCAUUCUUGAAAUUGGUAACGCAUGAACCCCAUCGUAAUUAACAGGCUGCAGCGAAAGCUGGGCUACACUUUUACUC
rfam:Erwinia iniecta strain B120 contig000026, whole genome shotgun sequence.